rnacentral:tRNA from 1 species
GGAGAGAUGGCUGAGUGGACGAAAGCGGCGGAUUGCUAAUCCGUUGUAUAUUUAUACCGAGGGUUCGAAUCCCUCUCUUUCCC